rnacentral:rRNA from 1 species
UACGUAGGGUGCAAGCGUUAAUCGGAAUUACUGGGCGUAAAGCGUGCGCAGGCGGUGAUGUAAGACAGAUGUGAAAUCCCCGGGCUCAACCUGGGAACUGCAUUUGUGACUGCAUCGCUGGAGUGCGGCAGAGGGGGAUGGAAUUCCGCGUGUAGCAGUGAAAUGCGUAGAUAUGCGGAGGAACACCGAUGGCGAAGGCAAUCCCCUGGGCCUGCACUGACGCUGAGGCACGAAAGCGUGGGGAGCAAACAGG